rnacentral:rRNA from 1 species
AACGGGUGAGGAACACGUGAAGAAUCUGCCCCUCAUUGGGAUACUUCGGGAACCGAGGCUAUACCGAAUAUUGAAACAUAAGUGGCAUCACUGAGUUUUGAAAGUUUCCGAUGAGGGAUGACUUCGCGGCCUAUCAGCUAGUUGGUGAGGUACCGGCUCACCAAGGCAACGACGGGUAGCCGGCCUGAGAGGGCGAACGGCCACACUGGGACUGAGACACGGCCCAGACUCCUACGGGAGGCAGCAGUAGGGAAUAUUGCGCAUGGAGGAAACUCUGACGCAGCGACGCCGCGUGCGGGAUGAGGCCUUCGGGUUGUAAACCGCUUUCAGUAGGGAAGAAGCGAAAGUGACGGUACCUACAAAAGAAGCACCGGCUAACUAUGUGCCAGCAGCCGCGGUAAUACAUAGGGUGCAAGCGUUGUCCGGAAUUAUUGGGCGUAAAGAGCUCGUAGGUCGUUUGUUACGUCGGAUGUGAAAAUCUGAGGCUCAACCUCAGACCUGCAUUCGAUACGGGCAAACUAGAGUUUGGUAGGGGAGACUGGAAUUCCUGGUGUAGCGGUGGAAUGCGCAGAUAUCAGGAGGAACACCAACGGCGAAGGCAGGUCUCUGGGCCAAUACUGACACUGAGGAGCGAAAGCGCGGGGAGCGAACAGGAUUAGAUACCCUGGUAGUCCGCGCCGUAAACGGUGGGUACUAGUUGUGGGAACCUUCCACGGUUUCUGCGACGACGCUAACGCAUUAAGUACCCCGCCUGGGGAGUACGAUCGCAAGAUUAAAACUCAAAGGAAUUGACGGGGCCCCGCACAAGCAGCGGAGCAUGCGGCUCAAUUCGAUGCAACGCGAAGAACCUUACCAAGGCUUGACAUAUAGCGAAAAGUGGCAGAGAUGUCAUGUCCGCAAGGGCGCUAUACAGGUGGUGCAUGGUUGUCGUCAGCUCGUGUCGUGAGAUGUUGGGUUAAGUCCCGCAACGAGCGCAACCCUCGUUCUGUGUUACCAGCAUUUAGUUGGGGACUCACAGGAGACUGCCGGGGUUAACUCGGAGGAAGGUGGGGAUGACGUCAAAUCCUCAUGCCCCUUAUGUCUUGGGCUGCACGCAUGCUACAAUGGCCGGUACAGAGGGCUGCGAAACCGUAAGGUGGAGCGAAUCCCAAAAAGCCGGUCUCAGUUCAGAUUGAGUCUGCAA